rnacentral:rRNA from 1 species
UACGAAGGGGGCUAGCGUUGCUCGGAAUUACUGGGCGUAAAGCGCACGUAGGCGGAUUGUUAAGUCGGGUGUGAAAGCCCCGGGCUCAACCUGGGAAUUGCAUUCGAGACUGAAUAGCUAGGGUACGGUAGAGGGAAGUGGAAUUUCCGGUGUAGCGGUGAAAUGCGUAGAUAUCGGAAGGAACAUCAGUGGCGAAAGCGACUUCCUGGACCAGUACCGACGUUCAGGCACGAAAGCGUGGGGAGCAAACAGG